rnacentral:rRNA from 1 species
GACGUAGGGCGCGAGCGUUGUCCGGAUUUAUUGGGCGUAAAGAGCUCGUAGGCGGUCUGUCGCGUCGGCUGUGAAAACUCAGGGCUCAACCCUGAGCCUGCAGUCGAUACGGGCAGACUAGAGUGCGGUAGAGGUAGCUGGAAUUCCCGGUGUAGCGGUGAAAUGCGUAGAUAUCGGGAGGAAUACCUAUGGCGAAAGCAGGCUACUGGACCGUCACUGACUCUGAUCUGCGAAAGCUAGGGGAGCAAACAGG